rnacentral:rRNA from 1 species
UGCCAGCCGCUGAGGUAAUAUGGCGGGUGCAAGCGUUAAUCGGAAUUACUGGGCGUAAAGCGUGCGUAGGUGGUUUAUUAAGUCAGAUGUGAAAGCCCCGGGCUUAACCUGGGAACUGCAUUUGAAACUGGUAAACUAGAGUAUGGUAGAGGAAAGUGGAAUUUCUGGUGUAGCGGUGAAAUGCGUAGAUAUCAGAAGGAACAUCGAUGGCGAAGGCAGCUUUCUGGACCAAUACUGACACUGAGGUACGCAAGCGUGGGUAGCAAACAGGAUUAGAUU